CAGAUGAGACCACCUUAUAGAAGGAUGAGGAAAUUCCAUAAGAGCUGAGCAUUUUGUGGAGCAUCUAUCUAAGCCAUGGAGUGCUACAGGACACCAUGCAAACAGCUUUCUGACUGCAUUCCACCUGUUCCAGCCUGAGUCAAUGCUGGUCCACAGGACCUUGUGCAGUCCCUGGGAAGCAUAGUCCAGCUACCUGCUCCUGAUAAACAAUCCUGCCUGUUUGAGUUUGCCUUUCCCGGGGCUCCCGAGAUGUUGAGACACCGGCUCAGAGACAAGACAUGGGCAAAAGGCACGGAGUUUCUGAAAUCUCAGAAACCAGUCACGCAACUGCAGUGCCCAAGGUUUCUUCUGAUAAUAAAUUCAGUAUAAUGCAAACUCCUAACCAGAAUGCAUCUGGCAUUCUGACUUGCAGGGGCUCUCAAAGGACUGGCAUACAUCGUCAUCUUACUUGGCCUUAUUUGGAUGCCUUUAGCAAGAGAAGAACCUGCAGAGCCACACAGAGACACCAGAGGGCAGCAGAGACUCCGAGCUGAAAAAGAAACCAACAGACCCCUGGUUGAGACACAAACUGCACAAGCCAGAGAAACUGAGAUGUCACCCUAAAGGGCUUCAAGGGACCCGAGAAUGGCCCCUGUGCUGGCCUGAAAAGAUUCUCAGUUAGUACAAGAGUGUUGAAGAGAACUCACAGC